rnacentral:rRNA from 1 species
AUGCACGCUGGCGGCGUGCCUAAUACAUGCAAGUCGAGCGAACAGACGAGGAGCUUGCUCCUCUGACGUUAGCGGCGGACGGGUGAGUAACACGUGGAUAACCUACCUAUAAGACUGGGAUAACUUCGGGAAACCGGAGCUAAUACCGGAUAAUAUAUUGAACCGCAUGGUUCAAUAGUGAAAGACGGUUUUGCUGUCACUUAUAGAUGGAUCCGCGCCGCAUUAGCUAGUUGGUAAGGUAACGGCUUACCAAGGCGACGAUGCGUAGCCGACCUGAGAGGGUGAUCGGUCACACUGGAACUGAGACACGGUCCAGACUCCUACGGGAGGCAGCAGUAGGGAAUCUUCCGCAAUGGGCGAAAGCCUGACGGAGCAACGCCGCGUGAGUGAUGAAGGUCUUCGGAUCGUAAAACUCUGUUAUUAGGGAAGAACAAAUGUGUAAGUAACUAUGCACGUCUUGACGGUACCUAAUCAGAAAGCCACGGCUAACUACGUG